rnacentral:tRNA from 1 species
GCUCGCGUAGCUCAAUUUACAGAGCGCGAUGGUUCUAACAUCGGAGAUGAAGGCGCGACUCCUUCCGCGAGCACCA